UUCUAAUUAGAUGCAAGUCUAAGACACAUUCCUCAAACACAUUAAACCGUUAAUGACUAACCCAGAGCUGAGAAUUAGGUAGUUGGAGCUCACAUCCAAACCAGGCAGGGAAGGGUUAAUCGUUCAGCUUUUUGGAGCAGCUCUAGAAUCAAAAUGGGUUGGAGCCAAGGCUGGGGAGAUGCGACCAACUGCUGAGACCAAGAAGGAUUCCAGAGGACGGACCAGCAGACCACAUGGCCUAGGUGCUAAAGAGAGAAUGACAAAAAGAAAAUUCAUCCAUGGACAAGUUACCAGGCAGUUUCCAGGCAGACUCAUCUAUAGUCCUGGUCCAUCUACCAAAUGAACUGCAAUAUAAGAAAAGGCGCAUCACCUGCUGGUUGUGUGACUGUGGAUGUGCAGUCUCCAGCAACAUUCAUGAUUAGAGGCUUGGUGCUUUGAGCCUUAUGAUGUCAGCCCAACAUCCAGCCUGACACCUAAGAAGGAGCAGGGGUUAGAGAUUGAGUUCAACCUCAUGGCCAAUGAUUCAAUCAGUCAUGCCUACAUGAUGAAAACCCAAUGAAGAACUGGACACCAGAUCAUGGGUGAGCUUCCCUGGUUAACAUAAUGCUGGGUGUAUAGUUACACAUCGACAUGCUGGGAGGGUGACAUCCUGAUCUCAUGGGGAGAGGACACCAAAGCUUAUUAUCUGAGACCCUCCCAGAACUUGCCCUAUGUGUCCUUUCUUUUAACUGGUCUUGAUUUGUAUCCUUUUUCAAUAAAAGAAC
rnacentral:lncRNA from 1 species